GACGAACGCUGGCGGCGUGCUUAACACAUGCAAGUCGAACGGAAAGGCCCUGCUUUUGUGGGGUGCUCGAGUGGCGAACGGGUGAGUAACACGUGAGUAACCUGCCCUUGACUUUGGGAUAACUUCAGGAAACUGGGGCUAAUACCGGAUAGGAGCUCCUGCUGCAUGGUGGGGGUUGGAAAGUUUCGGCGGUUGGGGAUGGACUCGCGGCUUAUCAGCUUGUUGGUGGGGUAGUGGCUUACCAAGGCUUUGACGGGUAGCCGGCCGGAGAGGGUGACCGGCUACAUUGGGACUGAGAUACGGCCCAGACUCCUACGGGAGGCAGCAGUGGGGAAUAUUGCACAAUGGGCGGAAGCCUGAUGCAGCAACGCCGCGUGCGGGAUGACGGCCUUCGGGUUGUAAACCGCUUUCGCCUGUGACGAAGCGUGAGUGACGGUAAUGGGUAAAGAAGCACCGGCUAACUACGUG
rnacentral:rRNA from 1 species